AUGAAGCUGGCCUUUCUAACGUUGGUGACUCUAUACCUGGUCGGGAGGGUAGGUGGCUUGUCUACCUGUAAGACUCUAGACUUGGAGAUGGUUAAGAAGAAGAGGAUUGAAGCCAUCAGAGGACAGAUCCUUAGUAAACUCCGUAUGGCCAAGGAGCCAGAAUCAGAACCAGAGGAAGAAGGAGAGAAGAUCCCAGAAACUUUGCUCUCCCUGUACAACAGCACGGUGGAGCUGAACGAGGAGCAGCAGCAGAGCCGGGACCAGCAUGCAUCUCUCCAGCAGGAUGAUGAGGAGUACUUCGCCAAGGUGGUGCACAAGUUCAGCAUGACACAUAAAACCAAAGAAACAAAGAACAGCACAGAGUACCAGAUAUUCUUUAAUAUGACUGAAAUCCGGAGCAGCGUGAUUGACUAUCGGCUGCUGUCCAGCGCGGAGCUUCGUUUCUACGUUAUGUCCGUCAGCGUGUCACCGCAGGACUCGGAGCAGAGGCUGGAACUGUACAAAGUCACGGGAGAUCAGACCCGCUACCUGGACUUUCAUUUCGUCUCCAAUCAGAACGCCAAACGCUGGUUCUCCUUUGAUGUCACACAGACUGUGAAAGAAUGGAUACAGGGCACGGAGGAUGAACAGGCCUUCCAGCUGAAAUUUUACUGUGGCUGCGGUCAAAUCAUGGAGAAUUUCAACUUCAGAAUUUCAGGGUUGUUGGACAGAGGAGAUCAGGGUACACUGUCUAAAAUUACCCAGAGGCCACACAUUCUUGCCAUGUCUCUACCUUCAGAUGGCAUCAGCUCUGCCAGCUCGAGGAGAAAACGGCAAGCUGACCCCACCGCUGAUGAAACCUGCACAGAGAAAACUGAAACCUGCUGCAUGAGGAAACUUUAUAUCGACUUCCGGAAAGAUCUGGGCUGGAAAUGGAUUCAUAAACCGAAAGGUUAUUAUGCCAACUACUGCAUGGGUUCCUGUACCUACAUUUGGAAUGCGGAAAAUAAAUAUUCUCAGAUCCUAGCACUAUACAAACACCACAACCCUGGUGCAUCUGCCCAGCCCUGCUGUGUGCCGCAACUCUUUGAUCCGCUUCCAAUCAUUUAUUACGUGGGAAGACAACACAAGGUGGAGCAGCUGUCCAACAUGAUCGUGAAGAGCUGCAAAUGUAGCUAAGAACACAGUGUGUCAUCUCUUUCAACUGUCCGUGUUGAAGUCUCUCUCCAGUGGAAAAGACAAAACCUCCACUGUACUGUAGAUGCAGCUGCGUUAUGGCGUAUUGGACAUCCGCACGAUAAAGUUCCUAAGGUGCUGAAUGUAGGAAGAUAUCUGGAGCUUAAAAAAGGAAAACCAAGCUUCUGUUUGGUUGGAAUGAAAUUUUGAUUUAUUUCACGUCUGAGGACCUGGAUCUUUGCACUAAAUCAAA